GACAGAGGGUGCAAACGUUGUUCGGAAUUACUGGGCGUAAAGCGCGUGUAGGCGGCUCGGAAAGUCGGGUGUGAAAGCCCUGGGCUCAACCCAGGAAGUGCAUUCGAAACUCCCGAGCUCGAGUCCUGGAGAGGAUGGUGGAAUUCUCGGUGUAGAGGUGAAAUUCGUAGAUAUCGAGAGGAACACCGGUGGCGAAGGCGACCAUCUGGACAGUGACUGACGCUGAGACGCGAAAGCGUGGGGAGCAAACAGGAUUAGAAACCCCAGUAGUCC
rnacentral:rRNA from 1 species